rnacentral:SRP_RNA from 1 species
GUCCAGCAUCCAGAAAGGAACUUCAUCGGGAGACUGAGACAGGAGGAUCGCUUGAGUCCAGGAGGCUGUAGUGUGCUAUGCCGAUCGGGUAUCUGCACUAAGUUCGGCAUCAAUAUGGUGACCUCCCAGGAGCGGGGGACCACCAGGUUGCCUAAGGAGGGGUGAACCGGCCCAGGAACGAGCAGGUCAAAAUUCCCAUGCUGAUCAGAAAGGAACUUUGUCCUUGUCUUGGGCUGUGGGUGUCAGGGUUCCCGUCCUGAACUCAGAGUGACCU